GAUGAAGAACGUAGCGAAAUGCGAUAAGUAAUGUGAAUUGCAGAAUUCAGUGAAUCAUCGAAUCUUUGAACGCACAUUGCGCCCGCCAGUAUUCUGGCGGGCAUGCCUGUUCGAGCGUCAUUUCAACCAUCAAGCCCCAGGCUUGUGUUGGGGACCUGCGGCUGCCGCAGGCCCUGAAAACCAGUGGCGGGCUCGCUGUCACACCGGGCGUAGUAGAUUUUAUCUCGCUCAGGGCGUGCUGCGGGUCCCGGCCGUUAAAAGCCUUUUUUUACCCAAGGUUGACCUCGGAUCAGGUAGGAAGACCCGCUGAACUUAAGCAUAUCCAUAAGCGGAGGA
rnacentral:misc_RNA from 1 species